GACGAACGCUGGCGGCGUGCUUAACACGUGCAAGUCGAACGGGGUUAAGGAGCUUGCUUCUUAACUUAGUGGCGAACGGGUGAGUAACGCGUGAGGAACCUGCCUUUCAGUGGGGGACAACAGUUGGAAACGACUGCUAAUACCGCAUAACACCAUAGUACCGCAUGGUAUAGUGGUCAAAGAUUUAUUGCUGAAAGAUGGCCUCGCGUCUGAUUAGCUAGUUGGUGGGGUAACGGCCCACCAAGGCGACGAUCAGUAGCCGGACUGAGAGGUUGACCGGCCACAUUGGGACUGAGAUACGGCCCAGACUCCUACGGGAGGCAGCAGUGGGGAAUAUUGGGCAAUGGGCGAAAGCCUGACCCAGCAACGCCGCGUGAAGGAAGAAGGCCUUCGGGUUGUAAACUUCUUUUACCAGGGACGAACACAAUGACGGUACCUGGAGAAAAAGCAACGGCUAACUACGUGCCAGCAGCCGCCGUAAUAC
rnacentral:rRNA from 1 species